GAAAAAAAUACUUUUCUCCGUGCAAUUAAAAUUUGUUUAAUAUUGUACUCUUAUUAAAGAAAUCCAAGAUUACAAUACUAUAGCUAAUCUAUUAGAAUUUCUCCCGUUGAUUGCAAUAAAGCAGAAAUAGAUUCUCUACAGCUGUUGAUUACAAUGGAACAUUGUUUCUUAGUGAACACAAAUGACAUUGACAUACAAUGCUUCAACUUUGUAAACUAUUUUCUAAAUGCCUAUUUUCUUUUGUUUCAUUUUUCAUUGUACAUAAGUAACUUUUACCAUCAUAACUGUUGUUUAAACUAUAUUAGUUGCAACUGCAACUGAGCAUAUCAUCUCAAUGGACACAAGUAUGAGUGUGAUAUAUUAAUGCCAUCAACAAGUACCUACAGUUCAAAAGAAAAUGUAUUAAGCAUAUUAUUCACAGAAAUAUUAAAAAGUGAGAAGAAAAUGAGGAUUUUAGGAAACAGCCAUGGUCCUUGAAAAUGUUGCGCAGUUUGGUCCUCUAAUGUGUUCUUUGUUCCUUGAAUGUGUCUUUGGUUUGUCAGUCUUGUCCAUAAAAUUACCAACAAAAAAAACUCAAGGACCAAAAUUAUUGCUUACUCUAUCAUGACACCGUCUCACACAUUUGUGGAUAAAAAUGAUUUUUUAGUCUAAUUAGGUAAUGCCCUCAAAAUUGAUUCUACACAAAAUUCUCAUUUUGUUUGUGAUUUUUCAAUUCAAUAUUGUACUAAAAAUAGCUAGAAUAAAACUUUACAUCAAGUGUAGAGUAUCAUGCAAUAUGAUUUAUGCUUCAUCGUUUAAUUUUAAAAUUAUUUAAUACUCCCUCCAGUAAUAAUUAUAAGACAAUUUUUACUUUUUAGAUUCAUUGAAUAACUAAUAUAUCUAAUCUAUAAUAUAAUUCAAAUACAUUAAUUUUCUUAUACGACAAAGGUGUAUAAGACACCGACAAAUCAAGAAAUGGGUAAGGCCGCCUAUAAUUAAAAGUCAGUCACCAUGGUCAAUUAAAUGUUGGUCUCUACUCUCUUUUUCCUGGUAGCCUGUAUGGAUGGCAUGAGGGGUUUCGAUUUUUUAUAGCUUUUUCGAAAAUUAUUUUCUUGAUUUUAUUGGGUGUCUCUCCCGCUAAGUAUAUUUGGUACUAGCUGUUAAUAUAUAUAUAUAUAUAUAUAUAUUUGCUUUAAAAAAAAAUAUAACUAAAAAGGACUGCGAAAGAUUACAUGAAUAUUGCACUAGUAGUAAGCCAACAAAACUAAAAGAAAACCAUACGUCUUCAAAUACCAAAACUACUACUAUUCUUUAAUUAGCCAAUUAUCAAAUAAAUAAAUAAAUAAAUAUUAAAUUGUGCAAAAAAGGGUUCAUCAGUUGCAAAAUGUUAACUUGUGUAAUGUAGAAGAUCAAGUAAGCGGGUGUUUCUUCACAACAACACACACAAAAGCCCUAAAAAUCUGAGUGUUUCUCUAAAAAAAACAAUGCCCUGAGAUUUGUUCUUGGAACUAUUGAGUUUUGCAGAGCUUCUCGCGGUAGAAUUAAAUUUCAUCUAUGAAAUGGCCGUCGUGGUGUGUUGCAACGUUCGAUUGUUUGAAAUAGAAGAAGCAGAGAGGAAGGAGAAAUUUCUAACAAUCUAAAGAUUUUUGAAGUUCAUGACAUGUAAUAUUUUUGGAUUCAAUAAAUUUCUAUANNNNNNNNNNNNNNNNNNNNNNNNNNNNNNNNNNNNNNNNNNNNNNNNNNNNNNNNNNNNNNNNNNNNNNNNNNNNNNNNNNNNNNNNNNNNNNNNNNNNNNNNNNNNNNNNNNNNNNNNNNNNNNNNNNNNNNNNNNNNNNNNNNNNNNNNNNNNNNNNCAACGUUCGAUUGUUUGAAAUAGAAGAAGCAGAGAGGAAGGAGAAAUUUCUUACAAUCUAAAGAUUUUAAUUUAACAGUUGAAUCAGACUAGUAAAGGAAGGAGAAUUUUUUUUUUACAAUGAGCUGAGGAUCGAACCCAUAACCUUUAGCAUUCUACCCAUAUUCUUCACCACUACUAGACCUAGUGGCUUAAAGGAAGGAGAAAUUUCAAAUGUGAGAAAAACAAAUAUAUUUUUUGAAAUUUCUGGCACGCAAUGCUGUGACAGAUGCUACAGCAGAUGUCUUAUAUAUGUAACAUAGCAGACUAACAAAAUAAUAAAGUGCAGAAUAAUAAAAAGGCAUAGUAGGUUUGUUGGUGUGUCGAAUCGUUGCGUGCGCGGGAAACAAAAAAGAGUUUUUACUUAAGUGUAAUUUAAAUAUUUUUGAAGUUCAUGACAUGUAAUAUAUUUGGAUUCAAUAAAUUUCUAUAUUUUCGGUUCAACAAUUGAUAUAGCGAAAUUUUAAAAAAAUAGUAAUGAUUUGUUUUGUGAUAAAUUAUAAAUAAUAAUAAAAGAAAAGUUAAUUUCUAGAAAUAAUAUAAUUAAACGUAAUGUCUUGGAUCAAAAUUCGGGGCGUUACACUAUGGUAUCAGAGCAAUGAUCCUCGGAUCCUUUUUGGGUGGGACGUUCUAGUUGUAUGACGCAUGAUUUUCUGUUGUUGAUUUACUUUCAUAUUUCAAUUUUAUGUUAUUUAUUUUUGUGAUAUUGCUUGCCAUUCUGAAUUUUUUUUUUUAACGAGAUUCCUCUUUUAAUUUUGUAAGCAUUUUUUUUAAUUUACUUUUCUGAAGCAAGUCAGCCCAAAUUGCAUUAUCGUGAUUCAAAAAAUGCCACUUUCACUUGCUAAGCAAAGCCAAAUUAAAGAGUUCAAGAUUUUUUACUCCUAAACCACCUUUAUCCUUAGGUAAACAAAUUUGAUCCCAUUUAACCCAGCAUACCUUUCUUUCCUCUGCACCACCACCCCACAAAAAGUUCCUCUGAAUUUUCUCGAUACUUUUUAGCACGCAACAAGGAGCCCUAAAAGAAGAGAAAAACUAAAGAGGUAUACUAGCCAAGACAGAAUUGAUCAGAAUUGAUCAAACGUUUAGUCAUAGCCUCCACAAUGAUAUCUCAAAAUUAAGAUAUAGAAGAAGAAAAUUUAGAUAAUAUUUUUCAUGCUUUAUUUCAUUUCGCUUGCAUCAUCUUAAAGUACAAAACUAAUAAAGUACGUGAAAUUAGAAAAGCUAAAAAAAAAAUUAUUUAAUGGGUGAUCACAUCACCUAAAGAAGAAUUCAUGGAAUAUUUUAGUAAUACGUUUAUAAUUAGCCUUCUAUACAAAAACCAUUACGACACCUCAUUCUUACAGGAUAUUGAUGGGAAGCACGGUAGUAACGGACUCGACAAUCACCAUCAGUUUUACAUGGCUUGGCAGCUAUAAUGUAAAAAGAGAAAAACAAUGUUACUAAAUGUAAUAAAAUAUAAUGUAAGAAAUAAAGAUGGAAAUUUGAAAAGGAGAUAAACNNN
rnacentral:lncRNA from 1 species